CUACGGGUUGCACCAGUGAGGAAUAUUGCACAAUAGGGGGAACCCUGAUGCAGCAACGCCGCGUGGAGGAUGACGCAUUUCGGUGUGUAAACUCCUUUUAUAUGUCAAGAAAAUGACGGUAGCAUAUGAAUAAGCACCGGCUAACUCCGUGCCAGCAGCCGCGGUAAUACGGAGGGUGCAAGCGUUACUCGGAAUCACUGGGCGUAAAGGACGCGUAGGCGGGUUGGAAAGUCAGGUGUGAAAUCCUACAGCUUAACUGUAGAACUGCACUUGAAACUUCUAAUCUAGAGUAUGAGAGGGGGAGAUGGAAUUAGUGGUGUAGGGGUAAAAUCCGUAGAUAUCACUAGGAAUACCUAAAGCGAAGGCGAUCUCCUGGAACAUUACUGACGCUAAGGCGUGAAAGCGUGGGGAGCAAACAGGAUUAGAUACCCCGGUAGUC
rnacentral:rRNA from 1 species